UUUUAUGGCCACCCCACCUGUUUCAAGCCUGAUCUCCUUUGAUCACCGGAGCUAAGAUGGUUUGGGUCUGGUUAGUACUUUGAUGGGAGACCACAAAUACCUGGAGCUGUAAUCU
rnacentral:rRNA from 14 species